rnacentral:rRNA from 1 species
UNGGGANGANCCUUCCCUACCCUNGACAUCNUGCGAACCUUUNGGAGAGGAAGGGGUNCUUCGGGAACGCAGAGACAGGUGCUGCAUGGCUGUCGUCAGCUCGUGUUGUGAAAUGUUGGGUUAAGUCCCGUAACGAGCGCAACCCUUGUCCUUAUUUCCCACCGAUUCGGUCGGGACCUUUAGGGAGACUGCCGGUGACAAACCGGAGGAAGGUGGGGAGGACGUCAAGUCAUCAUGGCCCUUACGGGUAGGGCUACACACGUGNUACAAUGGUCGGUACAAAGGGUUGCCAACCGGGGAGGGGGAGCCAAUCCCCGAAAGCCGUUCUCAGUUCGGAUUGGAGUCUGCAACUCGACUCCAUGAAGUCGGAAUCGCUAGUAAUCGGANUCAG